rnacentral:rRNA from 1 species
UACGUAGGGUGCAAGCGUUGUCCGGAAUUAUUGGGCGUAAAGAGCUCGUAGGCGGUCUGUCGCGUCGGCUGUGAAAUCCCGAGGCUCAACCUCGGGUCUGCAGUCGAUACGGGCAAACUAGAGUAUUGCAGGGGAGACUGGAAUUCCUGGUGUAGCGGUGAGAUGCGCAGAUAUCAGGAGGAACACCGAUGGCGAAGGCAGGUCUCUGGGCCACUACUGACGCUGAGAAGCGAAAGCAUGGGGAGCGAACAGG